CCUACGGGUGGCUGCAGUAGGGAAUAUUGCUCAAUGGGCGAAACCCUGAAGCAGCAACGCCGCGUGUAGGAUGAAGGUUUUCGGAUUGUAAACUCCUUUUGUUAGAGAAGAUAAUGACGGUAUCUAAAGAAUAAGCACCGGCUAACACCGUGCCAGCAGCCGCGGUAAUACGGAGGGUGCAAGCGUUACUCGGAAUCACUGGGCGUAAAGAGCGCGUAGGUGGGAUAGCAAGUCAGAUGUGAAAUCCUAGGGCUUAACCAUAGAACUGCAUUUGAAACUGGUAUUCUAGAGUAUGGGAGAGGUAGGUGGAAUUCUUGGUGUAGCGGUAAAAUGCGUAGAGAUCAAGAGGAAUACUGAUUGCGAAGGCGACCUGCUAGAACAUAACUGACGCUGAUGUGCGAAAGCGUGGGGAGCAAACAGGAUUAGAUACCCGAGUAGUC
rnacentral:rRNA from 1 species